ACCAAGAGGAAAUGGGAUGAAUCAGCUCAGGCUGCGCUGGCACUUCUGUAAGAAUUCCACAGGCUAACACAGUUCUGGCAAGACAAGCAGCGUGUGAGGGGUCACCUUCUGGAGCUGCUUGCCUUUGAAGUGUGGUGGAGGUGAGACUGAAGCUGAUUAUCUCCAGCAAAGGGAGGCUUAGAUUUGUUAUUUCUCAUCUCUGGCAUUUUGUUCAACUCGCCUGCCGAGAACAACACAAGAACGAAGUUCCAGGGUGUCCACGGCUUUCUGAACAUCCAGAGCUGAUGGAAUGGUCGGGUCCAGCUCUCUUCCAGGCUCUGGUGCCAAGCCUUGGAACUCUGGAAUGUCUGGGAUGGAGCACGCACAGCCAUCAAUUUUCAGUUCCUCACAUAAGAAGAGACUGAGUAGACCAGACUUGAACAAGCUGCUCCUGAGUCUGGGAGAUUAAGCGAGGACAUCACAGUGCAGGUCCUUUCUACCCAGAUGACUGGAGAACCUGUGGGUAAUGAAGCAAGAAAUACUGUGCACAUAAAGGCUGAUCGAUGGUGAGGGAGUGGGGGAGUUCAUCCAGCCAUGAAGUAAGAGAGCAGCAAAGUAACAACUACAGAGACUUUUCAGAAGCUGCUGUUCCAUUGUGUCUGAAUUCACUUGCCAGCAACAGCUGGGAAGUCUGUGUUAGGAGAAAUCAGUCUGAUCCCACUCGAUGCUGCAGUGAUUUCAGGUACUACAAAAGUAGCUGGAUUUGGGGAUUCAAACAGAUGCAAAAAUCCAAGGUUGGCCAGAUCAGGACUUCAGCUUGCGAGGUAUGAAACACAGAGCUGGAUCCCUGCAGCAGCUCUGGGGCAGUGAUUCUGCUCGUCUGUCUGUGAGAUGCCUUUUGACUUGCUCUCAGCCUUGGCAAGAAACUCACAUUUGAGGCUUUGGCUCUCCUUCCAAGGGGGAAUAUUUAGGCCAAUACGGACACUGGAAUCUCCCAGUCCUUGAGGAACCAAUAGAACCAUGGGCAAGUUCCACUGAAUGUUACUGGAGAGUUUGUUUUAGAAUGCUUCGGAGCAGGCGGUGCAGGGAACACAGCUGGACCCAGCCCCUGAUCCCAAGGGGGAUGAAAUCCAGUUUGCCUCCAGCGCUGGCAGAUUUUCACCUGGAUCCACAGCCAGGUGAGAGCUUCCUGCAGCCACACCGUGCCAGGACUCUCCUUUCAGGAGUCACUCCUCCUGCCACCUGGGAUUACUGACACAGGGGAACACAAGCGAAGCAGCUCAAUGGCCCAGCAGGAUUUUGGCCAUUCUUGAAAUCCCACUUUCUACCACAUACCAGAAAUGAAGUGAAUACCUUUCUGCUUCAGGGGGAUCCAUGAAUCAGAAACAAAGCACAGCAGAACAACAGGCUGGUGUUUCUCCUCCUGCAGCACCAGGAAUGCUGUGGCAACAGCGCAAUGUCCAGGUGUCCUGUGGUUUCCAUGGCAGAGGAUUCCAUGGGACCUGAGCACAGCAGCUCAUGGGCAGAACCUCGGGGUCAUUCCUUGCGCAGAGGAGCUGCAGCCACCUCAGAUCCAUGAAUGAUGGGGAGCAGGAGCAUGGACACUGAUCCAGGCUCAGACUGCUGACAACAGGGGUUUGUCCCCAGUUAUCAUUGCUGGAGCUGGGGCUUCGGAUGAGUCCCUUCCCCAUGCCUCAGUUUCACCAUCUGUACAAACAAAGUCAUAACACUUCCUUGAGAAAUUUGUGCUGUGUGGGUGAAAAAACACACUGGAUAACCCCAAGGAAUUUUGUAAUUUUUAAAUGUUUAAACUUUGGAAUGUUUGGAUUUCUCUGUGACUGACAGUGAACGUAGGGGGUCCUCUGGCUCCAGUCCCAGGUGGAAAACUGGAUGCAGUGGCACAGGCAGGAAAUUGUUGGACAGCAAAGCACCAUGUCUGAAGUGUAACCAGAUGGACUGUCCCGUUAGAUUGUCCUGAGCCUGUGUCUGACCAUGAUUCCUCAAAGGAAGCCUCUUCACCUGCAGCCACGCUCUCCUUGGUGAGGCAACAAACACCAUUUCAGUGCUUUCCUAUUUGUGCUGCUGGAAAAUGCUCUGGGUAAAGCCAUGACUGGUGAGUGAGUACAUCUGAUUUUCAGCUCCUUCCAGGGCAGCCUCCAGCUCUGUUGUUUAUAGAACAUGCAACAGAUGAGAUCGAUGCAGAGUGAAUUGUUCUCUUCAUCACCUUCAGGGGGUUCUGCUCCUCCUCCUGAGAGCCAGGGAGUCCCUGUCGGGGGCUGCUCUUUGCAGACCUUGUGUGAGGCUCUCAGAUGACUCCAAUGCCUUUCCAAAGAGGUCCUGGUUCCUUCCAAAUCUGCAGUUUCAGAACCUAAACCCGCUCCAGACACAGAAGGGAUUGCGUGGGCCAGUGAUGGGCUGCAGGUCCCCGAUGGCUCUGCACCAGUGCCAGGGCAGGUUCUGAGGGCUCACCCAGCCAAGGCCAGUGCCAGCUGCUGCCCCGGGGGUUGCCAUGGCCAGGCCACCCCCUGGUCCCUCGGGGGUCUCUCCAGGUGGGCUCGCAGCCCUGGGGCUGUGGCUGGGACCGGCGCUGAGCUCAGCUCCCUGCAGAUGGCACUGCCAUCCUGUGCUGAGGAACCUGCCCUGCCGCUCUCCCGGCCUUUCUCCUUGCUCGGGGAAGCAAAAAAACACUCAACCCUCUCUGCAGUGUAAAGAGCACAUUUUCUGUCAGCUUUGCUGUAGUCCCAGCCUGCAGCUGAGAGGGAGCAGUGAUGUUCUGAGGCAAAGCGAGGCCCAUUCCCAGAGCAAAGCCUAGAAAAUCGGACAAUCAUUUAGGCUGGAAAAGACCUUUAGGAUCCCCGAUUCCAGCUGUUAAUGUAACGCCGCCAGUGUGAGCUACGUGGUCACAGCCCCAUUACAUUUAUUCCUUCCAUUUAUUCUUCAUGCUGUUUGGCCUUUGUAAGGGUGGAUGGAGCCAAUGUGGUUUCUUGUAAGAGCCCUUUAUAAAAGCCAACCAAAUCCUGAUUUAUGGAACUGUUUUGAGUUUGGAACUGGGGAAGAGAAUAAAGGAAAGGAGAGAAAGGUGUUCUUGGCUGAGCUGGUCACUGGAGAAUGAAAAGGGAAAGGUCUCAGCUUUCCCCCCCUGCUUUUCCUUUAGUGAAGCCCAUCAUGGAAAAGCUUGGAAAUUAAACAUCAUUUGGGCUUUGAUGUCAGGGGUCUGCUUGUGCUGGGGGUAUCAGGCAGCUAAGGAGGCGUUCAUGGCACUGCUUGUCUUUCAGUAAUGUUGUAUAAAGCGUCCAUGAAAAAUACACUCAGGCCAACCUAAAACUGCAGGUCAAGCCCAGGAAUGUGAGGAGUUAAACUGCAGUUUGUUACUGCUUAUUUCUUACCCUCUAGUGCCCAAGGCAGAGCCCAGCCCUUAAAACAGUUAAUAACAUUUAGAAAGAACUUCUUUAAUGGCAUUCAACCCCAGAGCUGUUCAGAAAUGAUGCAGCUGGCAGAGGAAGGGUUCCUGAAGAAAACAAGGCUGGCAUGGUGGACGUUGGCUGCUCCCCACACCCCAUCCCUGGCCUGAAAUCCACUGCAUCCAAAAUCCCUGGGUGGAGCCGAGCUCUCACAGGUAGUUAGACAGCUGGUAGACUGCAAAGCUCAGAAAAAUCCAGCCUUCUACUGUUUGUGUGUAUGUCUGUGCAACAGAUAAUGUUUUAUUUUAAUGGCUGCCUCUGUGCCCUCCUUGAUAUGGCUGUGAUUUGGUCUGUGGAAUAAAGAGGUGCCUGGCUAUGGCCACUCGUGUGCAGGGUGGCUCCUGCCAGCCUCUCCCACCUCCCUUUCCCAGGUUUUUAGGGCAAGUGAUCCCUCACAACCUCAGCAAUUUUGCUGUGCAGUUUUGCCCUUUGGGUCAGUAGGAGCUCAAAUCCUCUGCUGUGGCUUUGCCUUCCCUAAAUAAAAUUAAUUCAAGCCCCUGAGUUCACUGAGAUGAUGAAUUCAGAAGAGCAGCCAGUCCAAGUAAGGCACAGGGACAGGGAGGAUGAGGAUGGUGUUGGGUGGGAGCUCCUCUUCCCUUGGAGCAGCCCAGUUGAGCGUGGCCACCUGAGCAAGCCAGUGAUGAUGUAUUUAGAAAAGAAUCUGCUCUGAAACUGAAAGGCAGCUUCUUAAAUUGACUGAAUUACAUUUGUAUUUCAAAAAAGAAAAAGAAGCUGUAAAUCGCGUAUUUACACAGCGGAGCACGCGAGUGCUCAUACGAGACCCAGAUGUUCAUUAGAAACAUGGAUUUUUCUUCCUUGCUGCUACCCUGAAAACUGGGAAAAAAGUCAGCUGUGUUGAAGGGUUACAAAAGAGCGAGUUAAGUCUACAAAAUCCAGGAAAUUUCCCGUUAAGACGAAAAAUCUGGGGUACUGUUGUAGUCCUUUAAUUCAGCCCCAAGACAUAAAUUAAAGCCAGAGGAUCAGGUCAGGUGCUCAAGUUCUCAGACUGUAGCUGUGGAAUUUCCAGGUUAAGUUACUUAAAUUUUCCUGUUGCUGAAUAAAGCUAAAACCCUAUAUGCCAUAUAUUUGCUCAUCAUACAAUGUUCUCUCCUAGCCAGUAACAGCUUCUUUGUUGGCGAAGCCUGUCUGGUUUGUGAGGCUCCCAGCCUUUGUACAGGGUUUGGGAGUUAAGAACUUCCACAUGGCCCUUGCUCUGAGGCUUUUGUGAAUAAGCAAAGCAAAGCACUCGCUCCAUGGCCAACAAAUGCAUGGAAUAUGGUUUGAAUUCUCUGGUUUUAAAUGCAAAGGAUAAUAUUGAUUUUGUUAAGGUAAAUGUCUUUAAUUGAAUGCUGUAUAAACUCGACUCUCACUGGGCCAUAAUGGGCUCUGGGCAUCCCUCCAGCACAGCAGUAUGAAAAUGUCUCUUUUAGUGUCUCCAGUAGAGAAAUGCAGAAUUAAGAUUUAGAUGAAAAAAAGUGACGUGGAGUCCAUCCCCAGUCUCUAAAAAGGCAUGAUGCAGGAGGACAUUUACAUAGCUGGAAAUUAUUGCUUUAUUACGGUCAAGACUCUGCAGUAGCUGUUGAUGUGGAUUGUUUGGGGCUUUUUGUUGGGAUGGUGGGAAUAGAAAAUUAAAAGAGGGAAAACAGACAUUAAGAGAAAAUGAAGAAGUCUCAGUGUGGCUCAGUCUCAUCCACAGAACCUGGGUGGGAUCCUGACACAAAGAGGAGCUCAGCAGCUCAUUGAUGAUGAAAUGCUCUGUACUCUGCACCUUUUGCACAUCCCAUUCCUGAACAUUUAGGAGGGUGACAAGGACAAGAAGACAAGUGGGUGACUCAUGAUAUUCAUUUAUCAAAGGCAGUAAAGGUAUUUAAGAACAGACCAAACACUCUUGCAGUAGAUGAUGCCCUUUCAUUUAUUGCUAAUCUACCAUAGUACAGGCAAUAUAUAAAAAUACUUUACAGAUAGCAAAAAAUCAUUACAUUGGAGGUUAACAACGUUGUUGUAGGAAUGUGAAUGAUAUAAACCCCUUUUCAAUUGUGAGUCAGGGUUUUGAACAAGCAAUUUGAUUCAAAAGACACCUGUUAGGAUGAUGGGAGUGACAAACGCUCACUCGUGUGCCUAUUAAAAUAUGGCUUUACCUGAACAUCCAGGGCAGGCCUGGACUUUGGGGGGAAUCACUUCAUAAUUACAGACAAAAACCUGAGUGCCAGGCAGGCCAGCACUGUUCAGACUCUCUGUGCCCAGGUGUCACCAGCACACUGGGCCAGGCCCUGCUCAGAGCAGGGGCAAUCCUGCAAUAACUGCUGAUUCCAACAGCACAGCUGGGGAUUCCUGGGUUUUAAAAACAUUAUUCAUUUCUGAGACACAGUCCUUCUGGAGCUUUCUACCCAGUGUUGCUAUUUUAUGCAUUACAGAAGGAAACUCACCCCCACCUUUUCCCCAGGUAACCACUCUCUGCAGUCAAGAUCAUCUUUUACAGCAUCAGCACCUUCCGGUGAAGUUUAUUGCAAUGUGCAGGUACUAAUUUAUAUUUUUAUACCCCUGAAACAAUGAAAAUGGCUAAACAAACCUUAAACAGACCAGAGUGGGUUUGAUUCUGGCUGGUAGUUACAGAAGUUGGUAUCAGCUGUCACCCCUGCAGUUAUAACACAGCAGGUACUACAGAUACAGAUGCCAAUCUUAUGUCAAACGUUCCCAAAGGUGGAUUAUUCAUUCUGAACUGAGAUGAAUAAAGAAUUACAACCUUCCACGUGUGGUGGCAGAGUGCUGCCUCACAGGUAAGAAACCACUGCAAUGUAAAUGAUGAGGAAGAGUUGAUUUCUGGAGAAUUUUACAAUUCACCCCAUCGAGACCCAGCGGUGGCAUCUCUUCCUAUUGCACAGGAAUAUGGAACAUAAAUAACAAACACUCAGAACUGCAGCUAAACUGGAACAUCAGAUGAUUUAAGUGGUGCAAAAAUGAUGAGGAUCUGAAUCAGUUUAAGAUUUGAAAUUAAGACAGUCAUUUUCUUGAGUCCCAUCUGGCAGAAAAUUGUUCCCUAUUAAGUAGCAAUUUGGAAAGAAAUGCAGGGGAAAAAGUCAGAUUGAAAUAUUUAGAAACAUAUUUCUCAAGCGUUUAAAGCUGUCUUUGAAGUCUUUGGGAAAUUUAUCAAAUACAUCUUUUUUUUAGGACAACAACAAUUCAACAACAAUUGCAUAGAAAAGUAAGGCAUUCAGAAAAUGAAAAUUGAUCCUUUAUAAAUACUAACCUUAAUCCAAAAGUUAUUGCAUAUUUGGUCAGACAAAAAGCACAGUCACUUUUUUUUUGGUAAAGAUAUGGAUUACAAAAUACACUUUAAAAAACAUGCUAGCUACUUUGAGAACCGGUUUAGAUAUGUUAUGAAGCAGCAGCUUUUUAUACAAUACAGAAUAACAUAGUGCUGGUUUUGGGAAUACUCUACAUUCAGGAAAUGCUGUAUUCCUACAGGGAGAAUGGAAGGGAUACAUAUUUACAUGGAUACAAAUAAAGCAAGUGCAAAACCCAUGACUCUUCUACAUUCUUUCUACCAAUAAAAACAACAUACAUGAGACACUUUCACUCCAUUGCUGUUGCUCAGAUCUUACAUUUUGCUCAUUCUCAUGGAGAAAAACAAAAACAGGACUUCAUAUUUCAUUGCAAGUAUCUUCACAAGCAAUUGCUCUCCUGGCAAAUUCGACUUCCAACACUCAUAACAGACAAAAAAAAAUCUUCCUGAUAUCUGCCCACUCCCAAUCCACUCUCAGACUGUUUACAUAUCAUGAAUGAUGGUUUUUAUUCUACGUAUAUUUGAUGCAGAAGUUUAUAGAAGCUCCUCCUGUAUUUGCAGCCAAAGCUUGGAUGGAAAAAUGGAAGUUAAAAAAAAAAUAAACACACACACACACAACACAAAUAAA